rnacentral:rRNA from 1 species
ACGGGUGAGUAACGCGUGAGUAACCUGCCUUUCAGAGGGGGAUAACGUUCUGAAAAGAAACGCUAAUACCGCAUGAGACUACAGAGCUGCAUGGCUCAGUGGUCAAAGGAGCAAUCCGCUGAAAGAUGGACUCGCGUCCGAUUAGAUAGUAGGCGGGGUAACGGCCCACCUAGUCGACGAUCGGUAGCCGGACUGAGAGGUUGAACGGCCACAUUGGGACUGAGACACGGCCCAGACUCCUACGGGAGGCAGCAUG